GGGGUUAUAGCUCAGCUGGUUAGAGCGCUACGUUGACAUCGUAGAGGUCGUUGGUUCGAUUCCAACUAAUCCCACCA
rnacentral:tRNA from 2 species